rnacentral:rRNA from 1 species
GUAAUGUCUGGGAAACUGCCUGAUGGAGGGGGAUAACUACUGGAAACGGUGGCUAAUACCGCAUAACGUCGCAAGACCAAAGAGGGGGACCUUCGGGCCUCUUGCCAUCAGAUGUGCCCAGAUGGGAUUAGCUUGUUGGUGAGGUAACGGCUCACCAAGGCGACGAUCCCUAGCUGGUCUGAGAGGAUGACCAGCCACACUGGAACUGAGACACGGUCCAGACUCCUACGGGAGGCAGCAGUGGGGAAUAUUGCACAAUGGGCGCAAGCCUGAUGCAGCCAUGCCGCGUGUAUGAAGAAGGCCUUCGGGUUGUAAAGUACUUUCAGCGGGGAGGAAGGUGUUGUGGUUAAUAACCGCAGCAAUUGACGUUACCCGCAGAAGAAGCACCGGCUAACUCCGUGCCAGCAGCCGCGGUAAUACGGAGGGUGCAAGCGUUAAUCGGAAUUACUGGGCGUAAAGCGCACGCAGGCGGUCUGUCAAGUCGGAUGUGAAAUCCCCGGGCUCAACCUGGGAACUGCAUUCGAAACUGGCAGGCUUGAGUCUUGUAGAGGGGGGUAGAAUUCCAGGUGUAGCGGUGAAAUGCGUAGAGAUCUGGAGGAAUACCGGUGGCGAAGGCGGCCCCCUGGACAAAGACUGACGCUCAGGUGCGAAAGCGUGGGGAGCAAACAGGAUUAGAUACCCUGGUAGUCCACGCCGUAAACGAUGUCUACUUGGAGGUUGUGCCCUUGAGGCGUGGCUUCCGGAGCUAACGCGUUAAGUAGACCGCCUGGGGAGUACGGCCGCAAGGUUAAAACUCAAAUGAAUUGACGGGGGCCCGCACAAGCGGUGGAGCAUGUGGUUUAAUUCGAUGCAACGCGAAGAACCUUACCUGGUCUUGACAUCCACGGAACUUUCCAGAGAUGGAUUGGUGCCUUCGGGAACCGUGAGACAGGUGCUGCAUGGCUGUCGUCAGCUCGUGUUGUGAAAUGUUGGGUUAAGUCCCGCAACGAGCGCAACCCUUAUCCUUUGUUGCCAGCGGUCCGGCCGGGAACUCAAAGGAGACUGCCAGUGAUAAACUGGAGGAAGGUGGGGAUGACGUCAAGUCAUCAUGGCCCUUACGACCAGGGCUACACACGUGCUACAAUGGCGCAUACAAAGAGAAGCGACCUCGCGAGAGCAAGCGGACCUCAUAAAGUGCGUCGUAGUCCGGAUUGGAGUCUGCAACUCGACUCCAUGAAGUCGGAAUCGCUAGUAAUCGUGGAUCAGAAUGCCACGGUGAAUACGUUCCCGGGCCUUGUACACACCGCCCGUCACACCAUGGGAGUGGGUUGCAAAAGAAGUAGGUAGCUUAACCUUCGGGAGGGCGCUUACCACUUUGUGAUUCAUGACUGGGGUGAAGUCGUAACAAGGUAACCGUAGGGGAACCUGC